rnacentral:lncRNA from 1 species
AUGCCAACAGAUGAGAAAACGGUGAGAGUUUUUGGUGACUCGGAUAACAGAAGACACAUACCUUACCAAGGACACAAGAUAUCUGGUUUCCCCUCGGUGAAGGAGCGGUCAGUUCUCUAUUUAUCCCACGCAGCUGCUAUCGCUGAUCACCCCAGUGGCCUGACGGAACUAGUAAGUUUCCCGUGCUUUACAUUUUUCUCAUUUUAGGGGAGGGGGGGACACCCGAAGGAUUUAAGCCAUGCCCUUCUCCAGCAAAUGGUCACAAAGGAGUAUCCAUUUUUUAAAAGCCAUUUGGGGAAUAAGUUGUGUAAUAACUUGAGAUGGGGGUAUUCGUAUACGAAGACGAAUACCCCCAUUUCUAAUACUAACCUAUCUUUUUGUUAUGUUUAACAUAACUUUAUUCAUCAGAAUGUCUAGGAAGUAAUUCAAAAGUGUAGGUAAUCAAUAGCAGUGGUAUGGAACCAAAUCAUACAUUAGGGAUUUACUGAUGUAGACCUGUCUAUUUCAACGAAUGGAGAUCCAGCAAGGGUAGGGUAUGUUUGUGUUUUUAAAGGUAUGACUAAAAGCUGGCCAGUGCAGCCAGUUGGAGUUUCGGGGAUAACCAGUUUCAAGAUGUAAUCAACCCGCUUAUUUAAGCUGGGGAAUCUAUGAUAUCUGUGCAAAAUUGCUUGGUUUUAGAUCUUAACUUCUUUUGGAAAUUUUAAAUAACCAAACAAACUUUGGAAAAUAUUUGCGGAGUUAGGUUACUGUGGACUUAAGCCCACUCCAUGCAGCCCACAGACCAUACUAAAGUUGCAAAGUCUGUAAGGUGGUGCAA